rnacentral:misc_RNA from 1 species
UCCCAGUUAAUCUGGGCAGUCUGACUUGAGUGCUUGGCAAAUGCCAGUGGCAACAAAUCACAAGGGUUGCGCUCGUUGCGGGACUUAACCCAACAUCUCACGACACGAGCUGACGACAGCCAUGCAGCACCUGUGAAAAGCGCGUAUUUCUACGCUGCCCGGCUUUCACCGGGGUUACAAUUCAUGUCAAGCCCUGGUAAGGUUCUUCGCGUUGCAUCGAAUUAAGCCACAUACUCCACCGCUUGUGCGGGUCCCCGUCAAUUUCUUUGAGUUUUAAUCUUGCGACCGUACUCCCCAGGCGGGGUGCUUAAAGCGUUAGCUGCGCCACCGAUGAGCAAGCUCACCAACGGCUAGCACCCAUAGUUUACGGCGUGGACUA